AUGGCUAGAGGGAGAUUAAUGUGUAGAAGUGAAUAAAUGAUAAAUCUUCAUCACUAUCGUGUUGAGUUGUUUUAUUCUGUGAUUGAUAUGCAUUUUCAAGAACUUAAUAAUUGAUUUGAUGAAGUAAAUACAAAUUUGCUUAUAUGCAUGGCAUGUCUAGAUCCUAAGGACUCAUUUUCUGCAUUCGAUAUGAGCAAAUUGAUUCAACUCACAAUAUUUUAUCCAUGUGAAUUUUCUACAGUUGCUCUAAUUGAACUUGAAUCUCAACUUCAGAACUUUGUCUUUGAUAUGUGUAUGGAUGAUAAAUUUUCUAAAGUUAGUGGAAUUGGAGGUCUUGUUGAGAAGAUAGUUGCUACAAAAAACCAUAUUAUUUUUCCUUUGGUAUAUUUGUUAAUCAAAUUAUCAUUAAUCUUGCCAGUUGCUACAGCCACAGUGGAAAGAGCUUUUUCUGCAAUGAAUAUUAUUAAAAGUUCACUUCGUAAUAGA
rnacentral:misc_RNA from 1 species